GUCAGGAUGGCCGAGUGGUCUAAGGCGCUGCAUUCAAGCUGCAGUAUCGAAAGAUGCAAGGGUUCGAAUCCCUUUUCUGACA
rnacentral:tRNA from 2 species